rnacentral:rRNA from 1 species
UACGGAGGGUGCAAACGUUGCUCGGAAUUAUUGGGCGUAAAGCGCACGUAGGCGGAUCGAUCAGUCAGGGGUGAAAUCCCAGAGCUCAACUCUGGAACUGCCUUUGAUACUGUCGAUCUGGAGUAUGGAAGAGGUGAGUGGAAUUCCGAGUGUAGAGGUGAAAUUCGUAGAUAUUCGGAGGAACACCAGUGGCGAAGGCGGCUCACUGGUCCAUUACUGACGCUGAGGUGCGAAAGCGUGGGGAGCAAACAGG